AACGAACGCUGGCGGCGCGUCUUAAGCAUGCAAGUCGAACGGCAAGAGAGAAGCUUGCUUCUCUCCUAGAGUGGCGGACUGGUGAGGAACACGUGGGUAAUCUGCCCUUAAGAUGGGGAUAGCUGCUAGAAAUAGCAGGUAAUACCGAAUACACUCGGCACUUCACAAGAGGUGUUGAGGAAAGGAAGCUAUGGCUUCGCUUGAGGAUGAGCUUGCGUCCCAUUAGCUAGUUGGUGAGGUAAAGGCCCACCAAGGCGACGAUGGGUAUCCGGCCUGAGAGGGUGAUCGGACACAUUGGGACUGAGAUACGGCCCAAACUCCUACGGGAGGCAGCAGCUAAGAAUAUUCCGCAAUGGACGGAAGUCUGACGGAGCGACGCCGCGUGGAUGAAGAAGGCUGAAAAGUUGUAAAAUCCUUUUGUUGAUGAAGAAUAAGGGUGAGAGGGAAUGCUCAUCUGAUGACGGUAAUCGACGAAUAAGCCCCGGCUAAUUACGUGCCAGCAGCCGCGGUAACACGUAAGGGGCGAGCGUUGUUCGGAAUUAUUGGGCGUAAAGGGCAUGUAGGCGGUUGUGUAAGCCUGGUGUGAAAUCCUGGGGCUUAACCCCAGAAUAGCAUUGGGUACUGCACGACUUGAAUUACGGAAGGGAAACUGGAAUUCCAAGUGUAGGGGUGGAAUCUGUAGAUAUUUGGAAGAACACCGGUGGCGAAGGCGGGUUUCUGGCCGAUAAUUGACGCUGAGAUGCGAAAGUGUGGGGAUCGAACAGG
rnacentral:rRNA from 1 species